UCACUUUACAUUUUUAAAUGAAAUGAGAGAGCGAGAGAGUCCGCUGUGCUGAAUGAAUUCGCUCUAUCUGGUUUAUUAGUAGCUAUGAAUUGUGGAACUGCAGGAGUGUUUUCGGAUGUACAGAAACAUAUACAUAAGUACAUAUGCAAAAAAAAGGUAUUUUGAACUGCCUUGAGCUUGGACAGGAAUGAUGUACAAAUUAUAUUAUAUAAUUUGUUUACACGCGGCGGCUCCUUGACGAUCGCUUGGUGUACGUGGCUUCCUCGGGCGGGCACAAUGGUUUUUAUUUUCACUGGUCGAGAAUCCCUGAGUAGACUGGUCACUGCUGGUGGGCGGCCACUGGUUAUUGUUGCCAAAAGGAAUAAGGUUGAGAAGAAACUAUCCUCCUAUGUCGCUGGCCUGAAAUUCAGUUUGCCGAAAUAAAAUAUAUUAACGACAA